rnacentral:rRNA from 1 species
CCUANGGGCGGCAGCAGUGGGGAAUAUUGCGCAAUGGGCGAAAGCCUGACGCAGCCAUGCCGCGUGUGUGAAGAAGGCCUUCGGGUUGUAAAGCACUUUCAGUGGGGAGGAAAGGGCGCUGGCUAAUAUCCAGCGCAGUUGACGCUACCCACAGAAGAAGCACCGGCUAAUUCCGUGCCAGCAGCCGCGGUAAUACGGAAGGUGCGAGCGUUAAUCGGAAUUACUGGGCGUAAAGCGCGCGUAGGCGGCUUGGUAAGUCGGAUGUGAAAGCCCCGGGCUCAACCUGGGAACUGCAUUCGAUACUGCCGGGCUAGAGUACGAAAGAGGGGGGUGGAAUUCCUGGUGUAGCGGUGAAAUGCGUAGAUAUCAGGAGGAACACCGGUGGCGAAGGCGUCCAUCUGGCCCAAUACUGACGCUGAGGCGCGAAAGCUAGGGGAGCGAACGGGAUUAGAUACCCCGNUANUC